GUGACGUAUAAUCUAGUGGACGGUUCUUCAUAAACAGCUCGUCAACCACCUCGGUAGCUUGCUAGCCAACAUAGCCGAAAGAUUCAAGCUAUUUAUACGCUUUCGGUGUAUAUUACCUACUGUGUUUUCGACACACUUAGGUCGUAUCUACUUGUUAACCUAUUUAAUAUUACGUUAUUUUGUAUUAGUCAGCUAUAGUAGCUGACUGGUUAAAUUAGCACUAGCCUAGUCGCUAAUGAUAGCUAGCUAGCUAACAUCCCCGAACAUGAGCUCCCUAAACUUAUCCCCUCUCGUUGAAGAAGAGGAGGUCUGCUGGACGGAGAAAGGAGGUCUGUGGCUGAACGUUGUCGUGAAAGAGGAGGAGGAAGAGGAGGAUGUCACAGUAAAACAAGAAGUAGUGGGUGAGGCUGUUACAGUGAAAGAAGAAGAGAAAGACGUUUCAGUGAAAGAAGAGGAAGACGCGUUCAGAGUGAAAGAGGAGGAAGAUGAGAAAGAGGAGGAUGUCGUUUUUGGUGUUAAAGAAGAGGUUGGAGAUCCGUUUAACACCAGUAAGUACCGUCUCUGCAUUCGUUGAACCAAUAUGCAGUAAAGGGGUUCUACACUUUAAUGUUGUUCUGUAGGAAUGGCUGAAGCUACACUGUAACGUGUAGAACAUCAAGAGUGGACCAUCAACAAAACGUUAACAAUUGAUCAAAUGCAUCCAAUGACAAUGCCUGAAAUAAUGUAGUCCUCAAUAUCUCCUAUUAGAUUAGCCCAAUAUGCAGUCUUAAAGGGGCAAUCAGCAGUUGUUACAUCCAUUUUGGGACUUAUACAUUAAUGAUAUGUACCCAUUGUUUCUUGAAGAAUUCACUUAUAAAUGCCUCAUGAGCUUAGUUCAACUGUUGUACCCCAUCAGAACCCAAAAUAUGAGCUUUUUUUUACUCCAAUGUUUGUCAGUAAAUAUAAACAAACACGGUAUAUCCCCAAAACAUGGUUAACUAGAAUGUUGAUAUCCUGGAUGGUUGCAUUUCUCCAACCCCAUCCCUCAGCUUUUUACUGAAACGGGCAGGGAGUACGCUUUGUUAUUGUUUCUACUGCUGAUUCUCUGCCCCCGUUACUCCUCAAAAUAAUUUCACAUAAUACUUUCAUAUCACAUAACAAUUAUUUCACACAAUACUUUCAUAUCACAUCAAAAUAAUUUAAAAUACUUUAACAUCAAAAUAAUUUCACACAAUACUUUCAUAUCACAUCAAAAUAGGUAACCAGUCUGUAUAGAUAGAUAGCUAAGUGAAUUAAAUAUCACCAGCUACCUAACUUCAUAUUAGCUAUCUUGAUGUAUUUAUCACUGUAAAAAACUAACUCCAAAUGCAUUUGUAGGUAGCUAGCUACCAGCCAUGGAGGAGGGUGAAAGGAUAGCAGCCCCAACUGUCAGUGAGAGAGGAGGCUAUUCUGGAUAGGGAAGGUACUUUUGUGUAGUUCCUGUCCCUAGAAGUGAGGACGGAGAUAAUAGUAACAUAAUAUUCAGUGUGGUGUAAUUUGACUAUAAUGAAGUGUGUUUCUUGUGAGUCUUUCUGUCCUCAGAUAAAGAGCGCUAUGAAAGCCAGUCUACAUAUGAAGAGGUCCCAAUGAAGAGCAGUGGUUCUCAGUCCUGGGGACUCAAAGAGGCACAUUGUUGUUUUUGCCUCAGCACUGCACAGCUGAUUCAAAUGAUCAACUCAUUAUCAAGCUUUAAGUGAUACCUUGUAACUGGAGAUUCCUUCAAAACGAUUGCCUACAGUUACCGUGUAGGGCACUGCAAGGUUGGGUGACCAGGGUCAUCUGGGACUGCCUCCUGGAGGAAUUCAGAUGUGUGAAGGCUACCUGUGUCCUGCGUAACUUCAUGAGGAUGGACACGAGGACCAGGAGGGGAUCUGCAGCUCGCCGCCGUGUCCCAGAGGAGGAGUCUGCUGCUCUGCAGGAUGUUUCAAGGAUGGGGUCCAACAACGCAGCAAGAGAGGCAAUCCGUGUGCAGGAGAUCUUCACCUCCUCCUUCUUCAAAGAGGAUGCUGUUCCAUGGCAACACCAUAGACUACACUAUGCUCAACCAAAGGCUCUUUUAAGAGGGUGCUGUUCCCUGGCAACACCAUAGACUACACUAUGCACAACCAAAGGCUCUUUUAAGAGGGUGCUGUUCCCUGGCAACACCAUAGACUACACUAUGCACAACCAAAGGCUCUUUUAAGAGGGUGCUGUUCCCUGGCAACACCAUAGACUACACUAUGCACAACCAAAGGCUCUUUUAAGAGGGUGCUGUUGCCUAGCAACACCAUAGACUACACUAUGCUCAACCAAAGGCUCUUUUAAGAGGGUGCUGUUCCCUGGCAACACCAUAGACUACACUAUGCACAACCAAAGGCCCUUUUAAGAGCCAUUCACAUUGCAAUAAGAGUAUUCUUCCAUUUACUUAGCUAUGUCAACUGCAGUUAUUCAAUUCACAGUUUCUCUCCCUUUGAUUUCUACUUCUCAGGUGAGGGUGCUGUUUAGGUAAGGGUGUGAUGUCUGUGCAAAAACAAAACAGGCUGUUUUAAAUCACCCAUAUUGAAAAAAUGUAGAGCAAUUAGACACUCUAUAACCCACACCUACACACUCAUGUAUCAAUCUGAUUGAUGGAUUGGGUUGUGCAGUAAGCAGGCUCAGGUGUAUAACUGUGGCUCCUUCCACCUUCAAAGAAUAGGCAAGAGGGCCAACCAUGGAGAAUAGUAAGACACUUCAUUAUUUCUAUAACUACGCUAUAUUGUUUGUCCUUGUGUGUCCGUUCAUGUUUUUCAGCAUAAAGUACUCUGCAGCCACUUAGUGUGGUGUGGACACCAGGUGAGGCCACACACAGAUUCCUGUUGAACACUGUGGCUUUAACUACCUUAUUUUCUCAAUAACAGUCUCUCUCCUUCACUUCAUCCCUCUCUCCCCUUCUCCCUAAGUCCUCUAGGUUAUAUCAGCUGUGUCGGUGAACCCCUACAGCAUCUGAACUGGCUACAUAGAGUGCACAGCAUGAUCAGAGAGAUGUUUUGAUGUGAGAGGAUGCCAACCCCCAGUCCCAUCAUCGCCACCUCACCUGCUUUUAAGAUCACCUUUGGGCCGACUAGAGACACUGUUAUGUAAUUGUGAUGAACUGAGAGAAUAUUUAUGUAGCACUGUGAUUCAUUAAUCAUGUGCUGCCUUCCCUGCUCCUAUGUGCUUACCUCUUUCCCUUUCUGUCUUUUACACCUCUCUUUCCACCUCCUCUUUCUUCCUCUGUUUUUAUAAUGCACAACAGAUGUGCAUUGAAGGACAGAUUGAACUUGUAUUUAUAACACUUGGAUAAUGAGCUUUUCAAUAAAGCGUUUCACAUUCUCUACUGGUUGAAAUGAAGUGUAAUGUGAUGAAAUACUCCACCUAUCCUGUGUUUAUCAGAUCAAUGCAGAUGAAGGGCAUUAGAUGUUGAGAUGAACCGGUGUUGGAGUAUUUACAUGAUGCAUAGGAAGUGUAGUGUUCUGUUUUUAACAUUAUAUUUCUGUAUAUAUGAAUUAACUAGUUAAAUCCUGUUUCUAGUCUAUUAUAUACAAUGUGUAACCAUUGAUGUCCCAGGACCAAGAUUGGUAAACACUGUUGAAGUGUAUAAUUGUAAUACAUACAUGCAGACACAGCGUCAUUCAAAGACUGGAAUUUGAUUCUCCUGGUAUUGGAUAUGACUGAAAAAUAAUCUCAAAGACA